rnacentral:lncRNA from 1 species
ACUCUGUGAUAGGGUUGGAUCCUAUAUGCUACUUUUAUUAUUGUCCUGUAAAAGGUUCAGUGCCUAUAAUUUAGGCUGUGUGUAGAAUGGGGCAUAAAAGGAAAUUACCUCUACUAAUAAAUUACUACUAGAUUAUAGUGAUAAGGAAAACAGUAUACAAAUUUGGCUUGUGUAUUCAUUUGCCUAUAAGUAAUCAUAAUUCCAUUCUUUUUUACAUAAAAAAAGAGAAUACUUCAAAAUGAGAAGAUCCUGCCAUGGAAAAGACGACUGGGCGGACAUAAAGUGGAAAGGAGGGGAAAUAACUCACACCAUGCAGCAGGACACCUUCAGCUGUGGGGUCUUUGUAAUGCAGAUGGCCAAUGAAGUUGCACAGAACUUCCCCAACAUCCCCUCCCAAAUUGAUAUGGAACCUUCAAAAACACAUGGAGCAACUGCGAAAAUAAAUGGCUGAGGAUAUACUAAAAAUGUCUGGUAUGUAAUGACAUUUAAUUCAAAGUAAAUGUAAAUUCUUUAUUUUUAUGUAGUUGUGUGGGACAGCCAUAUGUUCAGUUCAUGCCUAUGAUUUCAAAGUUCAACAAAGCCAACAACUGCUUCAUGUGUGCCACUGAUAAAGAACCUGGAUGUGGCCCAAAGACUGACUGGGUUAGUAACUUUUUUAAACAUGUUUAUAAUCUUUUGACAACAGUGACGGCAUGUAAGACAAUUUAUGAUAUAACACAAUGGAUGACUAAUUCGUCAUUCUGCAUUGAUAUUUGAUAUUAUUUAUAACGUGUUACGCUUUGUUGUUUUGAUUGAAUGUUUUGCAUGCCAACGGUGGUUCCAUGUGCUGUGCCUAGGAAUGAAGACAAAAGAGUUCAGAGUAAAGAACAAACUGGAAGUGCAGUCUUUGUUGUUGAAAAUGUAUGGUAUACCCAAUCCACACUGAAGAGGCUCUGAAAUGUACAUCAAUUAAGUUUCAUACUUAACUUUAAUUAAGUGUCUAUUGACAUGUUGGAAAAGAUUAAAGGUCUACAAUUUGUUUAAUUUGUCAAUAUUACAU